GUCUCGGCCUGAGCGGUGCCCUCUGCAACCCCGCAGGCUGCUAAACUCUGAACUGCGCCUCAAGACGUCGUUUCCAUCAGCACCCGUGCGAGCCAAGCCUGUUUCCCUCUCUCCCGCCCUUGCAAUCCUCCUGCCUCUCCUAAUCCUAGUUCCUGAAAAAGCGCAGGAAGGGCAUCUCCCGUUGGUAGCGGUGUGGACACAGUCGUUCUGAAAGCCCUGGGAAACGCAGAUCCCUGUGACUCUUCCCCCUAGGACUGUCUCUAAGCCGUGUACGCGUCUGGAUGCAAACGUGGUUGAUGUAAGUGGUCUGGAGACAGAAUCUUCUAAUGGGAAAGAUACUCUAGAAGGUGCUGGUGAUACUUCAGAAGCGAUGGAUACCCAGGUGGGCUCUGUGGAUGAAGAGAAUGGUCGACAACUGGGAGAGGUGGAGUUGCAGUGUGGAAUAUGUACGAAAUGGUUUACCGCUGACACCUUCGGAAUAGACACAUCGAUGAAGGUCCUAUGUGACCAUUAUUCUGUAAACAUAUGGAUCCCCUGUCUCCUGCCAUUAUUUUCUCAUCUGCUCUAAGAGAGGGAGUCUACUGAAACUUGCCCUACGUGAGGUAGACAAGACUAUGGAUCUGGAGAUCUCCGCACAGGUCUUUCAAAAAAAGAAAACCAUCUAAGUUCAAAACCUCCCCCCCAUGAGAGACAAAAAUGUGGCAUUAUUGUCAUUUGGGCAAAUGGU